rnacentral:tRNA from 1 species
UGCCCUGUGGUGUAAUGGUAACACAGAGGUCUCUGGAACCUUUGUUUCGGGUUCGAAUCCUGACAGGGCAA